rnacentral:rRNA from 1 species
UACGUAGGGUGCAAGCGUUAAUCGGAAUUACUGGGCGUAAAGCGUGCGCAGACGGUUGCGUAAGUCAGAUGUGAAAGCCCCGGGCUCAACCUGGGAAUUGCAUUUGAGACUGCGUAGCUAGGGUGCGGAAGAGGGGGAUGGAAUUCCGCGUGUAGCAGUGAAAUGCGUAGAUAUGCGGAGGAACACCGAUGGCGAAGGCAAUCCCCUGGGCCUGCACUGACGCUCAUGCACGAAAGCGUGGGGAGCAAACAGG